rnacentral:tRNA from 1 species
GGGGUCAUAGCUCAGCUGGGAGAGCAUCUGCCUUGCAAGCAGAAGGUCAUCGGUUCGAUCCCGAUUGGCUCCA